rnacentral:rRNA from 1 species
CCUACGGGGGGCAGCAGUGGGGGAUAUUGCACAAUGGGGGAAACCCUGAUGCAGCGACGCCGCGUGGGUGAAGAAGCGCCUCGGCGCGUAAAGCCCUGUCAGCAGGGAAGAAAAUGACGGUAACUGAAGAAGAAGCCCCGGCUAACUACGUGCCAGCCGCUGCGGUAAUACGUAGGGGGCAAGCGUUAUCCGGAUUUACUUGGUGUAAAGGGGGCGCAGACGGCGAUGCAAGCCAGGAGUGAAAGCCCGGGGCCCAACCCCGGGACUGCUCUUGGAACUGCGUGGCUAGAGUGCAGGAGGGGCAGGCGGAAUUCCUGGUGUAGCGGUGAAAUGCGUAGAUAUCAGGAGGAACACCGGUGGCGAAGGCGGCCUGCUGGACUGCAACUGACGUUGAGGCCCGAAAGCGUGGGGAGCAAACAGGAUUAGAUACCCCAGUAGUC